rnacentral:rRNA from 1 species
CUUAAUUUAUUGCACGAGGUGAUGAAUUCAGACAUUGGCAGAUAACAGAACUCAAAGUAAUAACGAUUAUAUGAGAAGUCCACCUUAUGAAAUUAAAAGUAAAAUAAAAUAUUUAAUUAUUAUAAUAAUAUUUUAUACAUAAGUAGCAAAUGAUGAUUUUGAUGUGUCCAUAGCUUAGACAAAACGAUGAAAUCAAAAGUAAAGAGUUACAGUCAAUUAAUAAUUAAUUAUAAAAGUAAUAAUGGUCAGAAUAUUAAUAAUAAUAAUAAAGUAGGAAUGAUAAUAUUAAGAAAUUAAUAUAAAAUUAAUUGAGAUUUAUAAUAAAUAAUAAUUAUAAGUAAGAUGUUUAGGAAAUUUGGUAAUACUAAUUGCAAUCGGAAGUAACAUAUUGGCGCUGACGACCGUGU